GAGGUCUGUUGUUAUGCAAGCAGCUGUCUCUCAAAGGUCCCAGUUUCUCCACGGAUGGGACUCCUCUUUCUACAAGGGCUGAUGAAGCCUGACCCCUGGAGUAUUCUGUUUGUCAGAGGAUGUGCUAGAACAUGAAUAUCAACAAGCAGCACAGUUAUUUAACUACGCUACACUUUUCCUGGUGCCAAUGUUGAGUUGAGCAGAAGUGAAGCUGGAGAGUAUCCUGAUUGCAUGAAUGAUAUGCAUAGAAACUCUCAUCACUUGAGGAGUCCAUUACGGAAUUAUAUCUUUAACUCACGUGCAAAACUAAUCAUAUGAAGAAUGUUCAUGCUGCAGUUGGUUGAGAAGAACAAUACAGUAAAUGGCCUUCCUUCUCUACCAGUUAGUUGAGAUCUUCUGUGCCAGAGGAGCUUUUGAUUAUGAUCUGGAUUCACAAUUGAUAGAGAAUAUUUGGAAUCUGAUCCAAUACCUAAGUCUAAAAGAGCUGUGGAUAAGAAGGGAAGCCUGUAUGGCUAAAAGCAAGCGAAGGAGGUCAUUAGAAGUAAAAAGACAUUGUUCAAUAAGUGAAAAUCCAAGUGAAGAACAUAGACAAAAUAAUAAAGCUUCUGGCAAGUUUAAUUUGAAGUCAUAAUAAAACUAGCCGAGAAAGAUUCUGAGGAGCAAGGGUGUAAGACAUGAUAAUAAAAACUUUUUUAAGUACAUCAGAAACAGGAAGUUUGCCAGCAAAUUGAUGGAGCCAAUAUAUUACUGGAAUGCAAAAAGACCACUUUGAAAAUAUAGGUCUUCAACAAAAAGGAUCACAAUUAUCACAGGCACAGAUGUUCAUUAUGGAGAGGCUUGAGGAAGUUCCCCUGUUGGAGCCAUACUUUGUUGAGGUCUGCCAUGAGGAGCUAGAUAUUCCGUGAGGUCGCUUCCAACACAAACCUUUUUAUGAUUCUGUUCUGUUAAGUGGUUUGAUAGUAACGGAGAUGAGAAUUAAUCAAAGGGAUAUGGGCUACAGUGGAAAAGUGCAACUUGCACAAAAGCUCUAAGGAAUCUCAAAGAGUAGUCAACUAUUCUUGUAUCUCUGACAGUUUUAAACUUAAGACAGUUUUAGGGGUGUAUGACAAUCUGUAUGUGAUACUGCUUUUAGGAAAGUCUUUGGGACAAUCAGGAAAGUACAGAUUUGCAGAUGACUUCCAUACUUCUGUAAUCCUCCCUUACUCUGUAGUAAAAGCAAGGCAACGAAAAGAAACAAACCUACGCUUAUCAGAGAGCAAAAGAGAUAGAGUUUGAGGCCUGUUUAUUUUGUACGGGUAAUUUAAAUGAGGCAAAUAGCAAGAUCUGGGAGGUCAUUUAUUGACUGACACUUACUGCGAUACUGGAUGUAUAUUCAUUUGGCAUAUGAGAAUGAAAUUCUUUGAAAAUAUUCUGCGUAGUUACUUAGAUGCCAUUGGUUUUAAAUGUUUUUCAUUCUUUUUAACAUAAUUGUGUGCUAUGGCACAGUUCUGUUUCCUGUGUGCUUCAAGGCACUUUACUUUCCAAUUGUGGUAAGCUUUCAACCUGAAAUGUAAGGUCAUGAGGGAGGCAAGAAUCUUACAGAAGAUAAACUAAUAAAUAGCUCUCAAUAAUUUGGUUAAGUUAAAAGAUACAUGUAGCCAUCUACUUCCAAAUAGCAAAGGAUGAAUCAAAAACACCCAAAAGCUGGCUUGUUCUUUUUCUGAGUAAGGCAGUACUAUGUCUAGUUUUUUACAGCAAAACAAUUAUUCCUAUGUAAUUGUUCCAAAUUCAAUUUAAAAGUAAUACUGUUUUUUAUCACUGCUUGGCUUUUGACAGGAAACUGCCUUCUAUUCUAGUUUAAAGCCUCACCAGACCCUGAGUCUAAAUCAGUCUCAUGCACUGCACAGUUGGGAUAAAGAGUGAAAGGGAGGAAGUAAUAGUACCUAAAAAUCAAAUGGGGACUGUGAGACAUUUGGUGGUUCAUAUGUCUGGGAGAAAUGCUGGUGUUCCCACUUCCCUAUAGAACUGAUCUGGCUGAUUUGAGAGACAGGCCUCAGCUCUGUUCCCCAUCCCUGGUACUCAAGGGAAAAAUAAGGAUAAAGUUUAUUGUAAGUGAUAUUUUUGGUUAAGACGUACAACGGCCACCUGGUCCCUGCCUGAUCGCCAGCACAAACCAGAGCAGACAGUUCAUAUCCCAUUUCCCCUGCUCCUACUGGAGCUCUGGAAAGCAACAACAACAACAAAAAAAGUGUAGAGCUGUGCACAUAAUCUUUUCUUCAAGUCCUCUUUCAUUUCUUGGUUCAAAAUCUGCCAUCAGUGUGGGGGCCAGAAGCAUGACUGUGGAAAGAGACACUUUUCUGCCUAUCUUGUGUCUCCUCAGAGGCUUCUGCAUAGAAUAUAAUUUAACGUGGCCAUUUCUGCCUUCUAUACACAAACUAUCCUCUGACCUGUAAUUUGGUAAGAUCUAUGUUGGUAGAGCUGCAUUCAAUAAUAGCCCAGUCAAAGCUCUGACUACUGUGCAAUAAAAUUCUUUUUAUCUGUGCCGUACUAUGCUGUGGCUUAGAAGUAUUUUGAAUGUCAAGAUGUUGCCAAAGAUGCCUGUUGAUAUAAAGCAGAUGUGCGCUUUUCAUU
ensembl:lncRNA